AAGUUGACUCUGUGUCUGUGUAAAUUAUUUCAUUAAUUCAGGGGUGUUUUCGCUCUUUGAGAGCAUCAAACAUGGCGCCUCUGUUCCUCCUCUGCCUGCCCUGUUUCCAUACUUCGUGUUGGAUGGUUCUGGCCUCCACGUUGUCUGUUAAUUUCUUAUAAUGGACACCUCGUGGGACAUUAUCCCUCACUUACACUAGUGAACUACAUGUUGCUGUAGCAACAAGCAAAACUAAUUCAAAAACUAAAUAACCUAAUGUCCUUAAUCUCCUUUGACCUAGUGGAACAAACUGGUGGGAACAGGGUUAUGUAAUGUUUUGGCAAUAUUUUCCAAUUGGUUAGUAUUUUCCUGUAUGGUAGAAAUGGGUUCGGGUAUAAAUGUGCAACAUUCAGUUAAAAUGACAGCACACGUUUCUCUUUGAGAGGCCAGUAAAUAAUCCAGUGCAGCCUGGUUGUGUAAGGGCAUCAUUCUUAUAGCAAUCAUUUCUUGUGAGAGCAUGGACAUUUCUUUUGCAGUAGAGUUUGCAAGAUCUUCAACUGCAUGUGAAAAGUCUCUUAUUUGAUCUAAAGUUGCCAUGACUCCAUAAUCUGGAAAGAGAGCACUAAUACUGGCUGGUCUCACAUGACCUAGACCACAAACUCCACACCAUCCCUGUUGGUAAAUACUCGUACGGAUUCAUUCCAUAAAUCCAGUAUUAACUUUAAUUAACUUUGGUAGUAGUACAGAGCAGUGAUUGAUCAUUGUAACAAAGAGGUUGUAGUCGUUAAUUCUUUUGGACUCUACUAUCAGUUCUUCUGAUGAAUAUAGAGUCAUUUUGGAUGUUCCCAAGUGAAUGUUGCCCUUACCUUCAACACACCAUUAUAGGUGUUUGGAACCAUUGAGAGGGUGAGAGGGUGAGGUUAACUAAAGGUGAAGUCUUUUAGUUGGGUAAUUUACCUACUCCUCGGAGCUGUACGGACAAAGUACGGACAAGGUACGGACAAAGUACGGACAAAGUACGGACAAGGUACGGACAAAGCACGGACAAAGUACGGACAAGGUGCGGACAAGGUGCGGACAAGGUACGGACAAGGUGCGGACAAAGUGCGGACAAAGUACGGACAAAGUACGGACAAGGCACGGACAAAGUGCGGACAAGGUCCGGACAAAGCGCGGACAAGGUGCGGACAAGGUACGGACAAAGUGCGGACAAAGUACGGACAAAGUACAGACAAAGUACGGACAAAGUACGGACAAAGUACAGACAAAGUACGGACAAAGUACGGACAAAGUGCGCAAAGGAGUCACAGUCAAAGCUAAUGGCUAUCAGCUCGAGCUACUAGCGCUGCAGCUAGCGACUGUGCUAAUGCCCGUUUUAACACUAGUUUUUUCACCGAACUCAAAGCAGACUUCUGUAAACGAAGUGUAAGUCGUAUGUUUUCGGGUUUCUUAAGUUUUUCGUCUGUUCUUAAUCCCCGCUGCUCACUCUCGCUCCUCUCUCCAUACAGACCAGAAGUAACGGAGGAAUACAGGAGCAAGUGGCGGGAACUCUCUGCAUCCAAGUCACUGAUUGGUCAACACUGGCUUGUCAAUCUCUUCUCAGAUAUCAAAGAUCCUCUUAUUUAGGUGAUAGUCAUUACUCUGAGUGAAAAUAAAUUCUCAAUAGUCUCUCUCUCAUUCUGGAACUCACUCUGUUAUGUGGGUUACACCUGCGUAGUCCCUCGAGGGGAGGAGUCCUUCCCAGGGAUGUAGUUGACCUUCUAUGGCACCGUAGGUGAUGAGGAAGAGGACCCACCAGAUGAUGAGGCACUCUGUUGAUUCCUGGUUCAUGGUGGGGGAAGCAUCUUCCUAUAGUGGGAUCCAGGUGGGAUGGCCACUGGACUGCUAUGUUGGUUCUAAGCAGACCUGUUGAGGUUAGGACUCGCUGAGUUUCGGUUGGUUUUCCUUCUGGAGCUCUCUGAUGCAGACCCAGUGCCAUGUUUGGAUGUGACACGGUUCGUCACUAGGGGGAGACUGGACAGCUUUUAUUUGUCUGUGGAUUAACUGAACGGGGGGGCAAGUCGGCUGCCACAUGUCAGUUGUUUAGCAAGUCUGUAAAAUGUGAAGUUUCUUCAUCAGGUUCAUUCAGACCAAACACAAGUGGAUCAAGCUGCUGGUAAUGGUGACUUCAGUUGUCCAGAUCAUGACUGUUACCAUCAGUCCAUCUGAUAGAAGACUGCAGGUUGUGGAAAGUUCAGCUCAAAUUUUUAACACUGUGAUUCUUGUGUUU